rnacentral:rRNA from 1 species
UUGGUGAGGUAAUGGCUUACCAAGGCGACGACGGGUAGCCGGCCUGAGAGGGCGACCGGCCACACUGGGACUGAGACACGGCCCAGACUCCUACGGGAGGCAGCAGUGGGGAAUAUUGCACAAUGGGCGAAAGCCUGAUGCAGCGACGCCGCGUGAGGGAUGACGGCCUUCGGGUUGUAAACCUCUUUCAGCAGGGAAGAAGCGAAAGUGACGGUACCUGCAGAAGAAGCGCCGGCUAACUACGUGCCAGCAGCCGCGGUAAUACGUAGGGCGCAAGCGUUGUCCGGAAUUAUUGGGCGUAAAGAGCUCGUAGGCGGUCUGUCGCGUCGGAUGUGAAAGCCCGGGGCUUAACCCCGGGUCUGCAUUCGAUACGGGCAGACUAGAGUGUGGUAGGGGAGAUCGGAAUUCCUGGUGUAGCGGUGAAAUGCGCAGAUAUCAGGAGGAACACCGGUGGCGAAGGCGGAUCUCUGGGCCAUUACUGACGCUGAGGAGCGAAAGCGUGGGGAGCGAACAGGAUUAGAUACCCUGGUAGUCCACGCCGUAAACGGUGGGAACUAGGUGUUGGCGACAUUCCACGUCGUCGGUGCCGCAGCUAACGCAUUAAGUUCCCCGCCUGGGGAGUACGG